rnacentral:lncRNA from 1 species
GGAGAUUUGGUAUAAAUAGUUUUCUUUCAUAGUAGAGACUUAACUAGAAGAAGUUAGAGCUAACGUGAAGUUGUAAUCAUAUCCAUGCAUGCAUGAUCCACGUUUGAUGACUUUUUUUUUUUCUAAUGUAUAUAAGUUUAGAUUGAAACCACAUUAGUUUGAAAUUCUCACAUAUAUGUCCAAAACCAGUGGGUCAUAUUAAUUAUUUAUAAGAGCAAAAAUAUAUAAAUAAAUAUAAUUUUUUUUUUGUCAUAUAAAUAAAUAU